GCACCUUAGAGACCAACAACUAAGUUUGUUAUUGGUAUGAGCUUUCAUGUGCAUGCACACUUCUUCAGAGACCUACACGAAAGCUAAUACCAAUAACAAACUUAGUUGGUCUCUAAGGUGC